GAAAAAAGGGCAGAGAGUGAGAACAGAUGUUAAUCCAGAAGGGUCCGCCACAGCUUAUCUCAGGUCAUCUGUGGGACAUUGAGGAGCUCAGCUGCACAGGAGAGAGAAGAGGACAGAGAGUGUGUAGCGGUACCCAUGACCACGCUGCAUUUCACAUGCUUCUUCUGCACAUCUGGAAGACAAGCUUGAUUGCGUGUCUAGAAAGGCUGAGUGAAGGCUUUACACCCACCAAGGCCGGAGAGACGGAGGCAUGAAGGGAAAAGGGAGACAGUUCGAUGAUCAACGCAUGCUCCGCCACCUCGUCGUAGCUUGCAGUGGCCACUCCGUGCAUCCAUCCUUCUGAUGCGCCUCUGUCCACUCCAGAGGACACAGUCGAGGAGCGGCGCGAGACACUCCUGUUGACUGCCUGCCCGCCGUCAGCCACUGUGACUCUGAUGACUAAAGACAUGGCUCUGUCUCGCAUCUCCUGAGGGGGAAACUUCAGUCUGUUUUGACAUCUUUUUUUCCCCUCUUUUGAAUUCUUCCAGAGUAUCCACUCACUCUCCACUGAAAGGCAGGGAGGCAGAAGAAAAAUCUUUAAGGUGAAGGGGCUCAUUUUCACUGCAUGGCGUGUGCGUUCCAUCACUGCUGCGGUGUAGCUGUGUGUGUGUUUUCACACCUGGUAUCUCUCUAAUGCGGGGCUGCUGCUCUGCCACUACCAACUUUCAUUGUAUCUUCACAAAACCACUUCCGACACGCUUGACUUUUGUGUGAGAAACAAGCGUCAGUUCUAUUUUCUAGAUGGCUCACGGUUGCAGCACAGUUCGAGCCACGUGUCUCACGGCAGCAGCGUGAACACUCUAACCUGGACCAACACUGGAGUUGGAGUGUGAAGAUCAGGAGUGGGCAAACUUUUUUGCGGGCUGACUCAUGCUAUUAAGAGCCGCACAGGUGUCUGGAACAUUCCGACACAGUGGGUCGUCUACCUGUUCAUCUGAUGACAGAUCUGUAUGCUCACCGGCUGCUGGAGCUGAGCCACCAGCACCGAGAGGCUGUCGAGGGCUUUAACGAAGAUCAAAGGAUGUGUC